rnacentral:rRNA from 1 species
UGAGUAACACGUGGGCAACCUGCCUCAUAGAGGGGAAUAGCCUUCCGAAAGGGAGAUUAAUACCGCAUAAGAUUGUAGUACCGCAUGGUACAGCAAUUAAAGGAGCAAUCCGCUAUGAGAUGGGCCCGCGGCGCAUUAGCUAGUUGGUGAGGUAACGGCUCACCAAGGCGACGAUGCGUAGCCGACCUGAGAGGGUGAUCGGCCACAUUGGGACUGAGACACGGCCCAGACUCCUACGGGAGGCAGCAGUGGGGAAUAUUGCACAAUGGGGGAAACCCUGAUGCAGCAACGCCGCGUGAGUGAUGACGGCCUUCGGGUUGUAAAGCUCUGUCUUCAGAAACGAUAAUGACGGUACCUGAGGAGGAAGCCACGGCUAACUACGUGCCAGCAGCCGCGGUAAUACGUAGGUGGCGAGCGUUGUCCGGAUUUACUGGGCGUAAAGGGAGCGUAGGCGGAUUUUUAAGUGAGAUGUGAAAUACUCGGGCUUAACCUGAGUGCUGCAUUUCAAACUGGAAGUCUAGAGUGCAGGAGAGGAGAAGGGAAUUCCUAGUGUAGCGGUGAAAUGCGUAGAGAUUAGGAAGAACACCAGUGGCGAAAGCGCUUCUCUGGACUGUAACUGACGCUGAGGCUCGAAAGCGUGGGGAGCAAACAGGAUUAGAUACCCUGAUAGUCCACGCCGUAAACGAUGAAUACUAGGUGUAGGGGUUGUCAUGACCUCUGUGCCGCCGCUAACGCAUUAAGUAUUCCGCCUGGGGAGUACGGUCGCAAGAUUAAAACUCAAGGAAUUGACGGGGGCCCGCACAAGCAGCGGAGCAUGGUGGUUUAAUUUCGAAGCAA